rnacentral:rRNA from 1 species
AGUGAACGCUGGCGGUAGGCCUAACACAUGCAAGUCGAACGGCAGCACAGGAGAGCUUGCUCUCUGGGUGGAGAGUGGCGGACGGGUGAGGAAUACAUCGGAAUCUACCUUUUCGUGGGGGAUAACGUAGGGAAACUUACGCUAAUACCGCAUACGACCUACGGGUGAAAGUGGGGGACCGCAAGGCCUCACGCGAUUAGAUGAGCCGAUGUCCGAUUAGCUAGUUGGCGGGGUAAUGGCCCACCAAGGCGACGAUCGGUAGCUGGUCUGAGAGGAUGAUCAGCCACACUGGAACUGAGACACGGUCCAGACUCCUACGGGAGGCAGCAGUGGGGAAUAUUGGACAAUGGGCGCAAGCCUGAUCCAGCCAUACCGCGUGGGUGAAGAAGGCCUUCGGGUUGUAAAGCCCUUUUGUUGGGAAAGAAAUCCUAUCGGUUAAUAACCGGUGGGGAUGACGGUACCCAAAGAAUAAGCACCGGCUAACUUCGUGCCAGCAGCCGCGGUAACAC